rnacentral:rRNA from 1 species
GAUGAACGCUGGCGGCGUGCCUAAUACAUGCAAGUCGAGCGAACAGACGAGGAGCUUGCUCCUCUGACGUUAGCGGCGGACGGGUGAGUAACACGUGGAUAACCUACCUAUAAGACUGGGAUAACUUCGGGAAACCGGAGCUAAUACCGGAUAAUAUAUUGAACCGCAUGGUUCAAUAGUGAAAGACGGUUUUGCUGUCACUUAUAGAUGGAUCCGCGCCGCAUUAGCUAGUUGGUAAGGUAACGGCUUACCAAGGCAACGAUGCGUAGCCGACCUGAGAGGGUGAUCGGCCACACUGGAACUGAGACACGGUCCAGACUCCUACGGGAGGCAGCAGUAGGGAAUCUUCCGCAGUGGGCGAAAGCUUGACGGAGCAACGCCGCGUGAGUGAUGAAGGUCUUCGGAUCGUAAAACUCUGUUAUUAGGGAAGAACAAAUGUGUAAGUAACUAUGCACGUCUUGACGGUACCGAGUCAGAAAGCCACGGCUAACUACGU